rnacentral:rRNA from 1 species
GACAGAGGAUGCAAGCGUUAUCCGGAAUGAUUGGGCGUAAAGCGUCUGUAGGUGGCUUUUUAAGUCUGCCGUCAAAUCCCAGGGCUUAACCCUGGACAGGCGGUGGAAACUCCCAAGCUGGAGUACGGUAGGGGCAGAGGGAAUUUCCGGUGGAGCGGUGAAAUGCGUAGAGAUCGGGAAGAACACCAACGGCGAAAGCACUCUGCUGGGCCGACACUGACACUGAGAGACGAAAGCUAGGGGAGCGAAUGGG